GCGGCGUGCCUAAGCUUAUGCAAGUCGAACGCGAACGGCUCCUUCGGGAGCCUAGUAGAGUGGCAAACGGGUGAGUAACGCGUGGGUAACGUACCCUGAUCCUGGGAAUAACCCUCGGAAACGAGGGCUAAUACCGAAUGUGGCGAACGACCGGUUGGUCGCUCGCUAAAGGUGGCCUCUUCUAUGCUGCCGGGUUGGGAUCGGCCCGCGUCCCAUUAGCUAGUUGGUGAGGUAACGGCUCACCAAGGCCACGAUGGGUAGCCGGCCUGAGAGGGUGUACGGCCACACUGGCACUGAGACAAGGGCCAGUCCCCUAUGGGAGGCGCAGGCGGGAAUAGUUCACAAUGGGCGAAAGCCUGAUGACGCGACGCCGCGUGAGCGAAGAAGACCUUCGGGUUGUAAAGCUCUGUCAGGAGGGAAGAAGGCUCUACGGGUCAAUAGCCCGUGGGAUUGACGGUACCUCCAGAGGAAGCCCCGGCUAAAUACGUGCCAGCAGCCGCGGUAAUACGUAUGGGGCAAGCGUUGUCCGGAUUUACUGGGCGUAAAGGGCGCGUAGGCGGUUUGUUAAGUCGAAGGUGAAAUCCUCGGGCUCAACUCGAGAAUUGCCUUCGAUACUGGCAAACUAGAGUGGCGGAGAGGAAAGCGGAACUCUUGGUGUAACGGUGGAAUGUGUAGAUAUCAAGAGGAACACCGGUGGCGAAGGCGGCUUUCUGGACGCACACUGACGCUCAGGCGCGAAAGCCGUGGGUAGCAAACAGGAUUAGAUACCCUGGUAGUCCACGCCAUAAACGAUGGGUACUAGGUGUCGGGGGUAUCGACCCCUCCGGUGCCGCAGUUAACGCACUAAGUACCCCGCCUGGGGAUUAUGGUCGCAAGGCUGAAACUCAAAGGAAUUGACGGGGCCCCGCACAAGCGGUGGAGCAUGUGGUUUAAUUCGACGCAACGCGAAGAACCUUACCUGGGCUUGACAUGCUUGGGACAGCGCUGGAAACAGCGUCUCUCCUUCGGGAGCCCUUGCACAGGUGCUGCAUGGCUGUCGUCAGCUCGUGUCGUGAGAUGUUGGGUUAAGUCCCGCAACGAGCGCAACCCUCGUUACUAGUUGCCAUCAGUUCGGCUGGGCACUCUAGUGAGACUGCCGGUGAUAAACCGGAGGAAGGUGAGGAUGAUGUCAAGUCAUCAUG
rnacentral:rRNA from 1 species